rnacentral:rRNA from 1 species
GGCCACUAUUAUUGGGCCUAAAGCGUCCGUAGCUGGCCGAACAGGUCCGUCGGGAAAUCCGCUCGCUCAACGAGCGGACGUCCGGCGGAAACCAGUCGGCUUGGGACCGGAAGACCCGAGGGGUACGUCCGGAGUAGGAGUGAAAUCCUGUAAUCCUGGACGGACCACCGGUGGCGAAAGCGCCUCGGGAGGACGGAUCCGACAGUGAGGGACGAAAGCUUGGGUCACGAACCGGAUUAGAUACCCCCGUAGUCC